UACAAUGUGGUGUAUUGCACAUUAGGUAUUGACCCUAAAAGCUAAAUUGUAAGAUUUGUUUUACUAUAGUAA